rnacentral:rRNA from 1 species
UGGGGGAUAUUGCACAAUGGGGGGAACCCUGAUGCAGCGACGCCGCGUGGAGGAAGAAGGUUUUCGGAUUGUAAACUCCUGUCGUGCGGGACGAUAAUGACGGUACCGCACAAGAAAGCCACGGCUAACUACGUGCCAGCAGCCGCGGUAAAACGUAGGUGGCAAGCGUUGUCCGGAAUUACUGGGUGUAAAGGGAGCGCAGGCGGGCUGACAAGUUGGAAGUGAAAGCUAUGGGCUCAACCCAUGAAUUGCUUUCAAAACUGUUGGUCUUGAGUAGUGCAGAGGUAGGCGGAAUUCCCGGUGUAGCGGUGGAAUGCGUAGAUAUCGGGAGGAACACCAGUGGCGAAGGCGGCCUACUGGGCACCAACUGACGCUGAGGCUCGAAAGUAUGGGUAGCAAA